rnacentral:rRNA from 1 species
GAUGAACGCUGGCGGCGUGCCUAAUACAUGCAAGUCGAGCGAAUGGAUUAAGAGCUUGCUCUUAUGAAGUUAGCGGCGGACGGGUGAGUAACACGUGGGUCACCUGCCCAUGAGACUGGGAUAACUCCGGGAAACCGGGGCUAAUACCGGAUCACAUUUUGAACCGCAUGGUUCGAAAUUGAAUGGCGGCUUCGGCUGUCACUUAUGGAUGGACCCGCGUCGCAUUAGCUAGUUGGUGAGGUAACGGCUCACCAAGGCAACGAUGCGUAGCCGACCUGAGAGGGUGAUCGGCCACACUGGGACUGAGACACGGCCCAGACUCCUACGGGAGGCAGCAGUAGGGAAUCUUCCGCAAUGGACGAAAGUCUGACGGAGCAACGCCGCGUGAGUGAUGAAGGCUUUCGGGUCGUAAAACUCUGUUGUUAGGGAAGAACAAGUGCUAGUUGAAUAAGCUGGCACCUUGACGGUACCUAACCAGAAAGCCACGGCUAACUACGUGCCAGCAGCCGCAGUAA